rnacentral:rRNA from 1 species
UACGUAGGUGGCAAGCGUUGUCCGGAUUUACUGGGCGUAAAGAGCGCGCAGGCGGUCGGAUCAGUCGAAUGUGAAAGCCCCCGGCUCAACUGGGGAGGGUCAUUCGAUACUGUCCGACUCGAAGGCAGGAGAGGGAAGCGGAAUUCCCGGUGUAGUGGUGAAAUGCGUAGAUAUCGGCAGGAACACCCAGGGGGAAACCAGUGGACUGGGCAUGAGCUGACGCUCAGGUGCGAAAGCGUGGGGAGCGAACCGG